UACAAAAAGGGAUUUACAAAAGAACGAAUCUUGUUCUGUAAUUACACCCCAUAUCCCACAACCCGCAACCCGCGUUAGCGGUUUACUAUUCGGGCUCCUGACUGCGCAUGCGCCAAAUCAGGACAUUGGGACUGUGUUUGUGUUUGGGUGGAACGGGUCCAGUUUCCCUCUUUGAAAAGCUGCAGGAAUCAUGGGAGCCGUGUUCCUGCCAGCAGAUGCGGCGCACUCAGUGCUGCGGAGGCUCCCG